rnacentral:tRNA from 1 species
GCCCUGUUCGUCUAGCGGCGAGGACACCAGAUUCUCAUUCUGGAGACAGGAGUUCGAUUCUCCUACGGGGUGCCA